UCCCAGGGCUGUUCUCCACCCCUCUCCUGGCCGGGCUCCCAGAGAAGGUUCGGCGCUUCCUGGGCCAGCAGGUGCCGUUCCCGUCCCGCCUCGGGGACCCCGCCGAGUUCGCGCACCUGGUGCAGGCCCUGGCCGAGAACCCCAUGGUCAACGGCGAGGUGGUGAGGCUGGACGGGGCCCUGAGGAUGCAGCCCUGAGCCCCAAAACCCGGGAACCCCAAAAUUCUUCAGGGGAACCCCAAAAAUUCUUCAGGGGAACCCCAGAAAUCUGGGGUGGGAGAGGUGACGGAGAGGACGCUGCGAGGAUCAACGGGGACACUCCAACGCUGCGGGGACAAUGAUGGGGACGCUGUGUGGGGACAUUUUGUGCUGAGGGGACACAAAUCUCCUGAGGGGACACAACCCCCCAAAAGUGGGGACACCAGGGAUUUGAGGACACAUGAGGGGAUUUGGGGACACCAAUGAAAUGGGGACACCCAAGGAUUUGGGGGACACUGUGGGGACAUUUUGUCCUGAGGGUCCUGAGGGACACAACCCCCCCCAAAAGUGGGGACACCAAGGAUUUGGGGACACCUGAGGGGAUUUGGGGACACCCAAGGAAAUGGGGACACCCAAGGAUUUGGGGACACCUAAGGAGGAUUUGGGGGACACCUAAGGAGGAUGUGGGGACAAACCCCAGGAUUGUGGCCGUGAGGACGCUCAAACCCCUGCUCAGGUUUUGGGGGGGUCGAUCCUGAGCCUCCCCCUCAGUUUGGGGACCCCCCCCAGCCCCUCCCCCACAUCAAUAAAGCGCGUUCGCCCACGCGGCCUCCGAGCCA
rnacentral:lncRNA from 1 species